GAUGAACGCUGGCGGCGUGCCUAAUACAUGCAAGUCGAGCGAACGGACGAGAAGCUUGCUUCUCUGAUGUUAGCGGCGGACGGGUGAGUAACACGUGGAUAACCUACCUAUAAGACUGGGAUAACUUCGGGAAACCGGAGCUAAUACCGGAUGAUAUUUUGAACCGCAUGGUUCAAAAGUGAAAGACGGUCUUGCUGUCACUUAUAGAUGGAUCCGCGCUGCAUUAGCUAGUUGGUAAGGUAACGGCUUACCAAGGCAACGAUGCAUAGCCGACCUGAGAGGGUGAUCGGCCACACUGGAACUGAGACGCGGUCCAGACUCCUACGGGAGGCAGCAGUAGGGAAUCUUCCGCAAUGGGCGAAAGCCUGACGGAGCAACGCCGCGUGAGUGAUGAAGGUCUUCGGAUCGUAAAACUCUGUUAUUAGGGAAGAACAUAUGUGUAAGUAACUGUGCACAUCUUGACGGUACCUAAUCAGAAAGCCACGGCUAACUACGUG
rnacentral:rRNA from 1 species